CAAUAUAUACCUAUUAUUUAAAAAAACGCAUCGAAUUCCAUUAGAACUCUGCAGUUAAGCGCGUUCAGGCUAGGUUAGAGUAGUAUUGGGAUUGGUGACCGCUUGGAAAGUGUUAUUAUUUGAGCUGG
rnacentral:rRNA from 1 species